GUAGGUGGCAAGCGUUGUCCGGAAUUAUUGGGCGUAAAGCGCGCGCAGGCGGGUCCUUUAAGUCUGAUGUGAAAGCCCACGGGCUCAACCGUGGAGGGUCAUUGGAAACUGGGGGACUUGAGUACAGAAGAGGAAAGCGGAAUUCCAAGUGUAGCGGUGAAAUGCGUAGAGAUUUGGAGGAACACCAGUGGCGAAGGCGGCUUUCUGGUCUGUAACUGACGCUGAGGCGCGAAAGCGUGGGGAGCAAACAGGACUAGAUACCCUGGUAGUCCACGCCGUAAACGAUGAGUGCUAAGUGUUAGGGGGUUUCCGCCCCUUAGUGCUGCAGCUAACGCAUUAAGCACUCCGCCUGGGGAGUACGGCCGCAAAGGCUG
rnacentral:rRNA from 1 species